rnacentral:tRNA from 1 species
GCUUGGUUAGCUCAGCUGGUCAGAGCGUGGUGCUAAUAACACCAAGGUCAUGGGUUCAAUCCUCAUACUGGCCA